rnacentral:rRNA from 1 species
GGUGAAAAGCACCCCGGAAGGGGAGUGAAAUAGAACCUGAAACCGUGUGCUUACAAGUAGUCAGAGCCCGUUAAUGGGUGAUGGCGUGCCUUUUGUAGAAUGAACCGGCGAGUUACGAUUUGAUGCAAGGUUAAGCAGUAAAUGUGGAGCCGUAGCGAAAGCGAGUCUGAAUAGGGCGUUUAGUAUUUGGUCGUAGACCCGAAACCAGGUGAUCUACCCUUGGUCAGGUUGAAGUUCAGGUAACACUGAAUGGAGGACCGAACCGACUUACGUUGAAAAGUGAGCGGAUGAACUGAGGGUAGCGGAGAAAUUCCAAUCGAACCUGGAGAUAGCUGGUUCUCUCCGAAAUAGCUUUAGGGCUAGCCUCAAGUGAUGAUUAUUGGAGGUAGAGCACUGUUUGGACGAGGGGCCCCUCUCGGGUUACCGAAUUCAGACAAACUCCGAAUGCCAAUUAAUUUAACUUGGGAGUCAGAACAUGGGUGAUAAGGUCCGUGUUCGAAAGGGAAACAGCCCAGACCACCAGCUAAGGUCCCAAAAUAUAUGUUAAGUGGAAAAGGAUGUGGCGUUGCCCAGACAACUAGGAUGUUGGCUUAGAAGCAGCCAUCAUUUAAAGAGUGCGUAAUAGCUCACUAGUCGAGUGACACUGCGCCGAAAAUGUACCGGGGCUAAACAUAUUACCGAAGCUGUGGAUUGUCCUUUGGACAAUGGUAGGAGAGCGUUCUAAGGGCGUUGAAGCAUGAUCGUAAGGACAUGUGGAGCGCUUAGAAGUGAGAAUGCCGGUGUGAGUAGCGAAAGACGGGUGAGAAUCCCGUCCACCGAUUGACUAAGGUUUCCAGAGGAAGGCUCGUCCGCUCUGGGUUAGUCGGGUCCUAAGCUGAGGCCGACAGGCGUAGGCGAUGGAUAACAGGUUGAUAUUCCUGUACCACCUAUAAUCGUUUUAAUCGAUGGGGGGACGCAGUAGGAUAGGCGAAGCGUGCGAUUGGAUUGCACGUCUAAGCAGUAAGGCUGAGUAUUAGGCAAAUCCGGU